AUGAUAAGGAUAGAUAGAUAGUAACAUUACCAACCGUCCCUAGAGCAAGUGGUAAAGGGCUUGGUGGUUGGUACCCGAGACUUAAGUUCGAAUCCUAGUUGAUUCAUAUUUCUAGCUAAAUUUAUUUCUAAAUGAAAUAAACGAAGCAUCACCAUAACUUAAUUGAGGUGAUCUUAGUUUGGUGGAAAGUAUUGGGAAGUGCUUUAAUUGGGCCAUCUAGAAUAAGAAAAAUGCUAUCUGUACACUCCAAAUGUUGUACACAUGUCAUACCCUUAGAAUAUGAGAAUUGUGAAAUAAUAAUA
rnacentral:lncRNA from 1 species